rnacentral:rRNA from 1 species
UAGGGAAUCUUCCACAAUGGACGCAAGUCUGAUGGAGCAACGCCGCGUGAGUGAAGAAGGUUUUCGGAUCGUAAAGCUCUGUUGUUGGUGAAGAAGGAUAGAGGUAGUAACUGGCCUUAAUUUGACGGUAAUCAACCAGAAAGUCACGGCUAACUACGUGCCAGCAGGCGUGGUAAUACGUAGGUGGCAAGCGUUGUCCGGAUUUAUUGGGCGUAAAGCGAGCGCAGGCGGAAGAAUAAGUCUGAUGUGAAAGCCCUCGGCUUAACCGAGGAACUGCAUCGGAAACUGUUUUUCUAGAGUGCAGAAGAGGGGAGUGGAAUUCCAUGUGUAGCGGUGGAAUGCGUAGAUAUAUGGAAGAACACCAGUGGCGAAGGCGACUCUCUGGUCUGCAACUGACGCUGAGGCUCGAAAGCAUGGGUAGCGAACAGG